rnacentral:rRNA from 1 species
UACAGAGGUCCCAAGCGUUGUCCGGAUUUACUGGGCGUAAAGAGCGCGCAGGCGGUCGUUCAAGUCGCGUGUGAAAGCCCCCGGCUCAACUGGGGAGGGUCAUUCGAUACUGUUCGACUCGAAGGCAGGAGAGGGAAGUGGAAUUCCGGGUGUAGUGGUGAAAUGCGUAGAUAUCCGGAGGAACACCAGUGGCGAAGGCGGACUUUCUGGCCUGUUCUUGACGCUGAGGCGCGAAAGCUAGGGGAGCAAACGGG